GAUGAAGAACGCAGCGAAAUGCGAUACUUGGUGUGAAUUGCAGAAUCCCGUGAACCAUCGAGUCUUUGAACGCAAGUUGCGCCCGAAGCCAUUAGGCCGAGAGCACGCCUGCCUGGGCGUCACACGUCGUUGCCCCCCCAUCUACUCCUUCGGGAUUGCGGGGGGCGGAUGAUGGCCUCCCGUGCGCCUCGUCGCGCGGUUGGCAUAAAUGCCAAGUCCUCGGCGACGCACGCCACGACAAUCGGUGGUUGCGAAACCUCGGUUGCCCGUCGUGUGCGGUCGUCGCGCAUCGAGGGCUCGAAAAAAUUGCCGGGCUCCGGCUCGGCUUUCAACGCGACCCCAGGUCAGGCGGGGUUACCCGCUGAAUUUAAGCAUAUCAAUAAGCGGAGGA
rnacentral:misc_RNA from 1 species